AGAGACCGGAGAACGGAGCUAAAUUUGAACUUAGUUUGCUAGUUCCUACGGGAAAUAAAUCAAUCAAAUCAACGAUGUUAGCCUCAAAAAUUCGUCGUUCAUGCUGCUCAGGCUAUCUACGUUCAUGUGCUGCAAGUAUUAACGAAAGGAACUUGGUGGACGCGUCGUCAAAGAGUUGAAAUCGUGUUCUCUGUCAAAGAGCGUGGGUAAGAGGCUUAUUAGAUGAUGUCCAGUUCUCAUGAUUAGUAUAGAGAACAGGCAGGAGGAUAGCUGUGAGCUUCCGAAUAAACCACAGAUUAAACAGACUGCGAGAUCACACAAUGUCAUUAGAGCUGGAACAAGUAUCUCAAUUAACCUGGACAGGAGAAAAUGGUUACAUUUUAAAAUUGCAGCUAAGUGUUCAGUUCUGUUUAAGGAAUAUUCUUUUGUUAAUUAGGAAAUGAUAAUUAGAUGCCCAGUAAGGCUGUCUUGAAUUGGCUUGCACAUGGGAGAACUGACAAAAUCUUCCCAGUCUAGAGUGUGUUGAAGAUUAGAUGUGAGUGUUUAAUACUCGUCAACAAUAGAUGAGCUUGGGGAAUGGUGCUUAAAAGGAUGGUGGAAGCCAUGAGCAAUCUGGACCAAGUGUGUAGGGUAUCCAUGUGACAACCCUGUGAGCGGCAACCACCAGGCACCAUCACACUGAACAAACAGUGGAACAAAAAUACUUACCACAUCCAUUCCAUGAGAAGAGGAGGGGUGCUGACCUGGGCAAAAAGCUCUAGGAGAACAGUCAGCAGCAAAAACAUGCAGAAUGACUUGACAUGUGAAGCCAAACUGUAAACUAUAAAGAGCCCAGGCACAAACUCACUUGCCACCCCACACACCAAUCCUAUUUGGGAGACUUCUGGCCAGCAAAAUUGUCUUGUGUUUAACAUAGCCUAGUAAAUUACAUUUAGCCACAUUUAAACUCGUCAACAAUAGAUGAGCUUGGGGAAUGGUGCCUUAAAGGAUAGUGGAGCCACAAGCAAUCCAAGCUAAGCACGAAGGGUAUCCAUGACAACUCAGUGUGAGUGGCAACCACCAGACCUUGCCCUCCUAGAUGCUUGGAGGGCAAAGGUCCGCAAAGAGGGGUGGAGGCGGAACCAAGGCCCACCAAACGUUCCAAACACCAGAUCCCAUGCCCUGACAAAAAGGAGCAGAAACCCAAUUAAACAAAGACAGAUACAUGCCAAGACAAAGAAACAACAUGAUGGUUUCUACAGGACUUAUUUGAUUGUAAAAUACUAAAAACUGGCUACAUUGUCAAUGCCCAGCAUGACAAAUGACAGCUCUAGGAACCACAGGGCUAUACCAAUCCAGGCAGCACUGACACAGACUGAGUCAUAUCCAAGAACUAAGUUUCUGAGAUGGCAUGAGCAAGCCACUCUCUAGCGGAGCACACUAAUGUGGUGACCCAGUUAAACCUAACCUCCGUACCAUGAAUGGAAGCACCUAGGAGGACAGAAUAACGAUACUCAACCAUUACUGAAUACAAAGCAGCUAGGUUGAGCAAUUAGGCCAUGCGAGGGCCCCACAGUCGCUGCAGAUCCUGCAGUGGGUCUAAACGAAGGAUCAUCGAGCAGCUGAAGAUGCGAACUGCAUGAACGAUAAGUAGGCAGUGCUUGUCUGAUACUCAGAGUUUCCAUUUCGUCGCCUGGAAUGCCAUUCCUUACAACUACUGUUGCUGCUCCAAUGUGAAACCUGUGGCUGGAAAACUUGCCUUGUAUGCCAAUUGAUGAUAAGAUGUCGUGCACCGACAAUGAUUGUAAUAUAACACGGGAUAAUGGAUGCCCAUUACAAAACAGGAACAAAGGGCCUAUGUGUAAGGAGCUGCCUUUAUGGAACGGAUCUGCUUUAGAAUCCUUUACCCUGAUCCAUAGACGUGAAGGGGAUGUGUUCAAAUCAGCUACAAUGCUGGCCACACCCAGGUUGAUAGCAGGUGAAAAACUAGCAAGAUUCGGGAUGGUAAUGUCGGCAGAGCAAAGAAAACUACAAAAACCCUAAAUUACAUGCUGCUCAUACAGUGUUCUGGAAGGCGCAAGUCCAAUGCACAAAAAUUGCCACCACAAUGUCUUUUAUAACUGGUAAGCGUAACAAAGAGGCAUUACCAUGAGUUCUUUUAAUUCCUCUAAGCACCGAUUGCAACCUCAAGCAUCAAAUAAGAGGAUCAGGAAAGCCCUGUUCGAUAUGCAAGAAGCAAACUGCCGACAGAUAAACCCUCAUGGUUGAAUGUCCACUCAUCCUUAGGGUAGGGUGAUCCAGAUUGAUGAAUCAUAUCGAGUUGUAUGCAGAGGUUGUAAAACAUCUUCAGGCCUGAGACAUAUAAGCUGCCCGUCAAUGAAGUUAGUCGUUGCGCCAAGAAAUCAUGACACUGGGCCUCUAAUGCAGAGGAAUCAAGAGCUCCCAAAGCUGGAACCAGGUGCAGUUGUGUGCCGAGGGCCAACUGCUUGAAUUCCUGCCAAUAAAAUCAGAAAAGAGCGUAAGUAAUGUUGUUAUGGAUACCAGGAAUAUGCCACACACUGAAAGUAAAAUUAAAGCAAACAGUUGCAGAAAGUAAAUGAUACAGAAACUGCACAAUACAUCGGAACUUAGAUGUCCUGGAGAUCAAGAUGUGUACCACUGUCUCAUUAUCUGACCAGAAAAAGUACAUGAUAUUGACACCACUGGGAACCCUACUGGUGCAAAGCUACCACUAUGGUGAAAAGCUCCUUACUGGCGAUGGAUCGAUGCGACUGCAGGGCACCCAUGCACCACUGAGUCACUCAGUAUUGAAGUAAACCCCAAAACCCAGCACGCCAUCAGCAACAGAAGUCAGUUUUUUGGUCAGGAGGCAGCAGACUGCUCUGGCCAGCACAUCCUCGAUGCCACCAAAUGAGUAGAUGAGACAAUAAUUGCAGAUAUGCUUCAUGUCUCCCCCAAGGAGUAUGGGUAGAUCUCCCAUCAGUUGUGGAAAGUGCAUGUGAGGAACUAUACACUGGCUUGGUUAUACAUGGAUAGGCAGUGAGAUUGAAAUGGUGUAGGACCACAGUCUGGUCAUCUCUGGAGUCUGAAAAUCGAGAAAAAAAGAUUGCUGAGAAAUUAUUUCCCGUCGCUGCCUCAAGUCGGAAUCAAGCACGACCAUAAACAAGUUUUAGGAGACGUGGUGGAAAGUAAAUUAAUGACCCAAGAUCGCAGCUCGAACUUCGGAUUUUCGUCUAGUUCAAGCAGGAUUACUUCAACGCAGUAAUUACUGACGCAAGGCAAAAACACUUUUCCAUUCCAAGAUGGUAGAUAAAUAAGUAGCAAGAUACAUUUUCUUUCACAAUGUCAUGUCAAUUUUUUUUUCGUAAAAGUUAUUUCCUUGUUAACAUCGGUUUGACCGUGUUUAAUUUUCCCGCCAAAAGACUUAGAAAAAAUACGGGCGCUCAAAAUACGCAUGCGCCGUUUUUUAAAAUUUUUUUUCUCUUUAGUUGCUGUAAGUAACCUCUGUUAAAAAAUUGUUAUUUUUCCCGCCAAAAAAGUUAGAAAAAAUACGGGCGCCUAAGAUACGCAUGCGCCAAUUUUUUUAAAAUUUUCCUAAGUUGUUGGUUUCGUCAGUCUAAUAUACUUUUUAAUUAUAUAUUUUUAUUUUUUUGUCAAUAAAAUUGUAUUCACUUGUUUGUUAUCUACUCUCUUUACUGUAAUUAAAACUAAGUCAAUAAACGCAACAAGUUGUAUUA